GGUGAACGCUGGCGGCGUGCUUAAGACAUGCAAGUCGAACGGCAGUCUUCGGACUGUAGUGGCGCACGGGUGAGUAACGCGUAACUGACCUACCCCAAAGUCGCGGAUAACGAUUCGAAAGAAUCGCUAAUACGUGAUGUGCUGUCAGAUUGUGUUCUGCCAGUAAAGAUUGAUUGCUUUGGGAUGGGGUUGCGUUCCAUCAGCUAGUUGGUGGGGUAAAGGCCCACCAAGGCGACGACGGAUAGCCGGCCUGAGAGGGUGGCCGGCCACAGGGGCACUGAGGCACGGGCCCAACUCCUACGGGAGGCAGCAGUUAGGAAUCUUCCACAAUGGGCGAAAGCCUGAUGGAGCGAAGCCGCGUGAGGGAUGAAGGUCUUCGGAUCGUAAACCUCUGAAUCAGGGACGAAAGACACUUCGGUGGGAUGACGGUACCUGAGUAAUAGCACCGGCUAACUCCGUGCCAGCCGCCGCGGUAAAAC
rnacentral:rRNA from 1 species